CCUUGGAACUAUUCAUAGACCGGAGGUCAGCAGCCGGUCACCUUCGGGUACUACGGUUCCCCAAAGCUUUAAGAAGUCACUAGGUCCAACAGUGAGCACUCCGUGCUUCAGGGGCCUCAGACUGAACCCAGUGAUUUAUGCAUGCUAGGCAAGCAUUAUACCACCAUACUACUACAUGUCCAGCACUAUCAUUUCUACUGUUGCUGGACAUCUCACAGCUGUUGCCAUGAAGCUUCCAAAGACUGCUCUUUGAUGGAUGGAUGCAUGCAUAUCUAUUGGGCAUCUGUAUUUGGAAGAGAAUUUUUCAGUCAGACAGUGUAUGUAUGCUCAGCUUUAGUGAAUACUGCCAAAUGGUUUUCCAAAAGAAUACAUUGUUUUUAAAUAGA